rnacentral:rRNA from 1 species
ACAAGCGGUGGAUGAUGUGGAUUAAUUCGAUGCAACGCGAAAACCUUACCUACCCUUGACAUGUCUGGAACCUUGCUGAGAGGCGAGGGUGCCUUCGGGAGCCAGAACACAGGUGCUGCAUGGCUGUCGUCAGCUCGUGUCGUGAGAUGUUGGGUUAAGUCCCGCAACGAGCGCAACCCUUGUCAUUAGUUGCCAUCAUUUAGUUGGGCACUCUAAUGAGACUGCCGGUGACAAACCGGAGGAAGGUGGGAUGACGUCAAGUCCUCAUGGCCUUUAUGUCUAGGGCUACACACGUACUACAAUGGCCGGUACAAAGGGCAGCCACUCAGCGAUGAGGCGCUAAUCCCAUAAAGCCGGUCUCAGUCCGGAUCGCAGUCUGCAACUCGACUGCGUGAAGUUGGAAUCGCUAGUAAUCGUAGAUCAGCAUGCUACGGUGAAUACGUUCCCGGGCCUU